rnacentral:lncRNA from 1 species
CGAAACUGAAAAUUUGGCGCCUCGUACGUCUGAACAAACACUGGCAUAAACAUCUGAAAGAUUAUGGAGAGAAUAGGCGCUGUAGUGUCGUCGGGUUUGGUCACGGAGCGGUCACGUUAGCUGUCGCCGGGAGGUCGGUGAACAGUCUCGUGUUUGAGGAAAUGAAGAGUCGUUUAAAAUUAAACAAAGCAAGUUAUCUUCGGCGAGCUGUAACGUUAGCUGAUGCUGCUCAGGCUAGCCCUCCCCUAACAACACAUCGGUCAGUUGGCUUGACGGACAUCAUUAACUGAUCUAUGUGCAAUCUCUAGGCUGUCUUCAAACACCAUGAACAGGACCAAAGUAAAGAAAACUAAGGACCCUACAUCUUCCAGAGGUACAUACAUUACUGGUUCUGCCCUCACCAAAACUGGCAUUCAAAAAAAAGAUGGUGAACGAGUCCAUUCCCCCAUGAAAAAGAGUGUCCUCAGUGACCUUGAAAACCUCCCUCCCUCCUCACCAGAUCUUGUCCUCUCUGUGCCUGAAACUCCCAACAGUCAGAUCAGGCCUUUUUGUUCUACUUCCAUAAGAGAAGAAGGUAGACUUGGCCAACUGUCCCCGAUCUGUCGCAGCCCCCUCUCUAAGGAGCAGAGUGUACAUAAAGUAAUGCCUGAGGAGAGAGGAAGACGCUCUAUCAAAAGAGUCUUUAGCCCUCCUGAAGUAUCCCACAGUCCCAAGAGACCAAGAACAGCCAACCUAUUGUCACCAAGAGCUCUGAUCAACUCCUCGGACAGCAAUUUAAAAGUACCACGGCCUCUGUUUGGCUCUGUAAAGAUCAACCGUUUAUGUAGUGACCGAACACCAGAUCAGCCUGAGAGGUUGAAGCAUCACAGCCAAGGUAGUAAAGUGGUCCAUAAUGACAGCAGAAACACAGUGAUGUUGCUGCAGUCUGAAAGUGUUAAACAGAGGAGACAUCAGGGAGAGCAAAUCAGAAAAGAUUCUGAUUUUACUGUGAUAACAGAGCAGAAAGCAACAGAGGAAAAAGCUAAUAAAGACCAACACAGAGCUCUUGUUAAAGACACUCACACUCUUUCUGCUCAUGUGUAUGAGCUCUGUGCACAAACUGCACAGGAGGAGGAGGAGGAGGCUGAUCUAAAUGAAGAAAAGACUACAAGAACACCAAUGAGAGAGGGAGGUGGGAGCAAAGCAACAUCCUCAGACAAGGAGAGAGCUGCAGGUAAAAAAUUCCACCUGACAGCUUCUGUGCUGCUUAUACCAAUUAAGCUGUUUAGCAAUCUUCACUUGUAUAUAAUG